UGGGGAAUCUUGGACAAUGGGCGCAAGCCUGAUCCAGCCAUGCCGCGUGAGUGAUGAAGGCCUUAGGGUUGUAAAGCUCUUUUGGCGGGGACGAUAAUGACGGUACCCGCAGAAUAAGUCCCGGCUAACUUCGUGCCAGCAGCCGCGGUAAUACGAAGGGGACUAGCGUUGUUCGGAAUCACUGGGCGUAAAGCGCACGUAGGCGGAUUUGUAAGUCAGGGGUGAAAUCCCGGGGCUCAACCUCGGAACUGCCUUUGAUACUGCGGAUCUCGAGUCCGAUAGAGGUGGGUGGAAUUCCUAGUGUAGAGGUGAAAUUCGUAGAUAUUAGGAAGAACACCGGUGGCGAAGGCGGCCCACUGGAUCGGUACUGACGCUGAGGUGCGAAAGCGUGGGGAGCAAACAGGAUUAGAUACCCACGUAGUCCCUGAGCGGGCUGGCAAGGCGCAU
rnacentral:rRNA from 1 species